rnacentral:rRNA from 1 species
CUCCUUCGGGAGGCCGCCGUAGGGAAUUUUUCGCCAAGGCAGCAAGUCUGAAUCCGCCACACCGCCGCAGUGCUGAAGGCCUCCGGGUCGUAAAACUCAUUUUGUCCGAAGGACAAAAACUUGUUUAUAAGCGGCGCCUGACGUCCGCCAAUGCGUCUU